rnacentral:rRNA from 1 species
UACGUAGGGUGCGAGCGUUGUUCGGAAUUACUGGGCGUAAAGGGCUCGUAGGCGGCCAACUAAGUCGGAUGUGAAAUCCCCAGGCUUAACCUGGGAACUGCAUCCGAUACUGGAUGGCUUGAAUCCGGGAGAGGGAUGCAGAAUUCCAGGUGUAGCGGUGAAAUGCGUAGAUAUCUGGAGGAAUACCGGUGGCGAAGGCGGCAUCCUGGACCGGCAUUGACGCUGAUGAGCGAAAAGCUAGGGGAGCAAACGGG